UUUCUGGAAUUACUGGGGCGUAAAGCGUCCGUAGGCGGUAUUAUUACAGUCUGAUGUGAAAUCCCGGGGCUCAACUUUGGAACUGCCUUUGAAACUGCUAGUCUUGAUUUCGAGAGAGGUAGAGUGGAAUUCCAAGUGUAGCGGUGAAAUGCGUAGAUAUUGGGAGGAACACCAAUGGCGAAGGCGGUUCACUGGGCUCUAUACUGACGCUAAAGUACAAAAGUGUGGGGAGCAAAGGGGAUUAGAUACCCUGGUAGUCCACACCGUAAACGAUGAUUGCUAGAGUUCGGGAGGCUUGCCCUUCCGUGUCACAACUAAAGGAUUUAACAUUCCCCCCGGGGAGUACUGUCGCGACAUGAAUUAAGACUCUCAGAAGAUUGUGCGGGG
rnacentral:rRNA from 1 species